rnacentral:rRNA from 1 species
CAUGGCUCAGAUUGAACGCUGGCGGCAGGCCUAACACAUGCAAGUCGAGCGGCAGCGGGAAAGUAGCUUGCUACUUUUGCCGGCGAGCGGCGGACGGGUGAGUAAUGCCUGGGAAAUUGCCCAGUCGAGGGGGAUAACAGUUGGAAACGACUGCUAAUACCGCAUACGCCCUACGGGGGAAAGCAGGGGACCUUCGGGCCUUGCGCGAUUGGAUAUGCCCAGGUGGGAUUAGCUAGUUGGUGAGGUAAUGGCUCACCAAGGCGACGAUCCCUAGCUGGUCUGAGAGGAUGAUCAGCCACACUGGAACUGAGACACGGUCCAGACUCCUACGG